AGCUUUGUGCAGUGGCGAUAUCGUAGCCAAUGAGGUUAUACCGAAGUGCGAUUAUUGCUAAUUGAAAAAAAAACUUAUUUUUUAUGUUUUUUUAUACCUGGCUAAAAUGGCUAAAAUGAUUGUUAACAUGCAAA